CAUUUUCUAUCUACCAUUUCCACAUACCGCAGAUUCGCAUACACUCAUGCAUACAUAUAGCUACACACGCACAAUCCUGUAGGAUUUAUGCAUACGUGCACUCAAAUAUCCACAUUUGACCUAUUCUACAUAAUAUAGGCUAAUUUGUCAAUUCCAAUAUUGAUCGGCUCUGGCAUAGGCUAUUAGGCCUAUUUGUUUCUUCAUUUAGUGAUAGGCUAUUUAAUUACAUUGCCUGAUAUCGGUGAGACUGUAGGCUACGAGCUGAACGGGGAGAUGAGGGGACGAGCAUCAGCUGUCAACCAGAUUCACUCGGUGUUUUUUUCUCUCGCCAUAAUCGUUUGAGCGUCGGUUUUCUUUUUGUCUGCGCCUGUUACAUUGUAACGCACUCGAUGUUAAUUCGGGGGAAUAUGUGAACAUCAUGCUGGCGGUGUGGUGCUUGGUCUUUGCUGCAGUGGGCGAGAGGCUUGCGGUGUCAGGCGGGGGCAGGUCGACUUUGGUUCGGGAUGCGAGUUUGUGGGACUGGUUCUCGCCAGAGGAGCGUGGAGACAGCAGCGACAUUGCGCCCGAAGUCACCUAUCCAAAGCGGCUGGUGCAGCAGAUGGAGUCGGAGGAAGAAAUGUCCCACGGCUAUUUGGAUACCCGCGUGAAGAAUACCACGGGAGGCACCUCGCCAGUCCAUUUGGCCCAGAGUUGUUUCCAGGUGGAAGCCUUUGGACACACCUUCACCCUGGACCUGGAGUUAAACCACCACCUCCUGUCCUCAGACUAUGUGGAGCGCCACUUUCACCAAGACGGCAAACCCUCACAGUCUAUGGGAGGGGAGCACUGCUACUACCAAGGGAGGUUGAGGGGCUUACCAGAGUCCUGGGCAGCUCUCUCCACCUGUCUUGGCCUAUGUGGUAUGUUUUCUGAUGGGAUGUUCUCUUAUGGAAUUGAGCCUCUUUUCGAUGGGACCAAUCAGACUGAGGGGGCCCACCUGGUGCGUAGGAUGCCUGAUGUCAGACUAUCCCCAGACUGUCCAGACUGCGCAGACAACAGUGAGGGCGUUAGAGUCAGAGGUAAUGGUGAUGAGCAGACGAAGGAUCCCCGGGUCAGUGAGGUGCUGAGGCGCUCUAAGAGACAGCUGCCACGCAGGCCCACCGUGCAGUCAGAGACCAAAUACAUCGAGCUGAUGGUGGUCAAUGACUAUGAAAUGUUUGUGCAGCUGCGACGCUCCACUACCCAGGCCAGGAACUUUGCCAAAGCAGUGGUGAAUAUGGCAGAUGCAAUUUACAGGGAACAGCUGAACACACGCAUCGUGCUGGUUGCCAUGGAGACCUGGUCGUCGGCCAACAUGGUUCCCGUGGUGACGGAUCCGUUGACGACGCUGCAGAACUUCAUGAAGUACAGGAAGGACAGCAUUCAGGAGCAGAGUGAUGUUGUGCACCUCUUCUCGGGGCGUACAUUCCAGAGCAGUCGCAGUGGGACGGCCUACACAGGAGGGGUGUGCUCUCUCACCAGAGGAGGGGGCAUCAACGAGUAUGGGAAUGUGGGUCCUAUGGCCAUCACUCUGUGCCAGAGUCUGGGUCAGAAUAUUGGGAUGAGGUGGAACAACAUACGCAGCUCUGCGGGAGACUGCAGAUGUCCUGAUGCUUGGCUUGGUUGUAUUAUGGAAGACACUGGAUAUUACCUUCCCAGAAAGUUCUCUCGCUGCAGUAUUGAUGAGUAUAUCCAGUUCUUGCUCCAGGGGGGCGGGAGCUGCCUCUUCAACAAGCCCAACAAGCUGUUGGACCCUCCGGAGUGUGGGAACGGCUUCGUGGAGACAGGGGAGGAGUGUGACUGUGGGUCUCAGCUGGAGUGUGCCCGUAGUGGAGGGGCAUGCUGUAAGAAGUGUACCCUGACCCAUGAUGCCAUGUGCAGUAGCGGACUGUGCUGCCGUGGGUGCAGGUAUGAGCUGAGAGGAGCGGUGUGCAGACAGGCUGUGAAUGACUGUGACAUCCCAGAGAGCUGCACAGGAGACUCCAGCCAGUGCCCUCAUAAUGUGCACAAGCUGGAUGGAUACAUGUGUGACAGUAGUCAGGGUCGUUGUUAUAGUGGUCGGUGCAGGACUCUCGAUGGCCAGUGUAAGGGACUGUGGGGCUACAAUUCAGCAGACCGCUUCUGCUAUGAGAAGCUCAAUGCAGAGGGCACAGAGAAGGGCAACUGUGGGCGGAGUCCUGAGGGCCAGGGAUGGCUGCAGUGCAACAAGCCGGAUGUGCUGUGUGGUUUCCUGUUCUGUGCCAAUAUGACAGUGAAGCCAAAGUUUGGGGAUCUGGAGGGGGAAGUGACCAGCCUUACAAUAUACCACCAGAACAAGUACCUGGACUGCCGAGGGGGCCAUGUCCUGCUGGAGGAUGGGUCAGACCUGGGUUACGUAGAGGAUGGUACGCCGUGCGGCCCCAACAUGAUGUGUCUGGAGCGCCGCUGUCUCCCCGUGGCAGCCUUCAACCUCAGCACCUGCUCCGGCUCCACGCUGGGACGCACCUGCUCUGACCACGGGACAUGCAGUAACGAGGUGAAGUGUAUCUGUGACAGGGACUACACCGGAAAGGACUGCAGUGUCUUUGACCCCAUCCCUGACCCCACACCGCCUGCCAGCACGGAGAAGAAAGGGCUUAUAGGGCUCUCAUAGGUCCCAAAAACCAAACCCACCCUAUGCAAGAGGGUGUCCAGCUGAAAGAGCAAGAGAGGGGAUGAGAAAGAAGAAUAUCCGAAGAGGAAGAUCUGGUGGAGGAUAAGAUGUCUGUCUUUGUCUGUCUGCUCCUGUCUUUCUCUCACUCUGUGUUGUUUCCAAGUCGAAGAAGAGGGAAAAAGAACAAGUCUUCCACUCCUGUCCCGAACCUCUCCAGACCUCUUCCAUUAACAUCUCCUCUCCUGUCCACUUCCUGUCUGUCCACCUGUCUAUCUCCGGCCCCUCCGGGCCAGUGUAGCACCUCCCACAUUGCAUACCAGCCAAUUAUAUUAUCCAAUCAGGAUAAAGUCUUUGCCACGGCCAGAAUGAGAAGGUUGUUGUUGGUCCCUAGAGUGGCGUCAGGGUCUUCCUCCUUUCCAGCGACUAAGUAGGAUGCACUUCGGUGUCUGCGUACUGUAGUUCCUUUUCCUUCCGCUUACGACAGUCCAAUGAAGAACAUGUCAACAGUGGACAAAUUCAGUAUGAGACAUGUCUUUCCAAUGCUUGUCUGGAAACAAACUUCUGACCGCUGUUUGAGAAUGCUGGACUGGCCCAGACCUUCCAUCUGAAAAAUGAUUUAAAUCAUAAGAUGUUGUGAAGGAAACACAGCAAAACAAACAUUGAUCAAAGACUCUCAAGUGGCCAUUGGAUCAGCUGAACUCCCCCUUUCAGAGAGGCCUUGUCAAGUGACUGGAUGACAACCCAGAUUCAUACAUUAUCUAGUUACAACAACACAGAGAAAGAAUAGCAACUUAUUGUGAGAAUGACUAUGAAACAAAAGCAGUAGACCGUUCAAAACAUCCUGGACUGAUGUUAGGGUUUAUGUUGAUUGUUAAUUCUUUGUUCCUGUCUGUUGAGAUGUAGGAAGGGGGAGUUAGACCCUAUGGUUUUGGGAUCAUAUUUAAAAAGCAGCAGAGACCAUAACUCAGUGUUUUCAACCGUAGAUCUACCAACUCAACAUUCCACAUAGUGUUAGUUAACAGAGCCUGUCUGUAUGUGUCUGUAUUUUAUUCACCACCUUCUUAAGAGGCCCAAAGUGUGUAUGGUAAAGGAGGUUGAAAGUGUGUGUGUGUGUGUGUGUGUGUGUGUGUGUGUGUGUGUGUGUGUGUGUGUGUGUGUGUGUGUGUG